GUCGGGAUAGCUCAGCUGGUAAAACAGAGGACUGAAAUUCUCGUGUCACCAGUUUCAAUA
rnacentral:tRNA from 1 species